rnacentral:rRNA from 1 species
GGUUAAGCGACUAAGCGUACACGGUGGAUGCCCUGGCAGUCAGAGGCGAUGAAGGACGUGCUAAUCUGCGAUAAGCGUCGGUAAGGUGAUAUGAACCGUUAUAACCGGCGAUUUCCGAAUGGGGAAACCCAGUGUGUUUCGACACACUAUCAUUAACUGAAUCCAUAGGUUAAUGAGGCGAACCGGGGGAACUGAAACAUCUAAGUACCCCGAGGAAAAGAAAUCAACCGAGAUUCCCCCAGUAGCGGCGAGCGAACGGGGAGCAGCCCAGAGCCUGAAUCAGUGUGUGUGUUAGUGGAAGCGUCUGGAAAGGCGCGCGAUACAGGGUGACAGCCCCGUACACAAAAAUGCACAUGCUGUGAGCUCGAUGAGUAGGGCGGGACACGUGGUAUCCUGUCUGAAUAUGGGGGGACCAUCCUCCAAGGCUAAAUACUCCUGACUGACCGAUAGUGAACCAGUACCGUGAGGGAAAGGCGAAAAGAACCCCGGCGAGGGGAGUGAAAAAGAACCUGAAACCGUGUACGUACAAGCAGUGGGAGCACGCUUAGGCGUGUGACUGCGUACCUUUUGUAUAAUGGGUCAGCGACUUAUAUUCUGUAGCAAGGUUAACCGAAUAGGGGAGCCGAAGGGAAACCGAGUCUUAACUGGGCGUUAAGUUGCAGGGUAUAGACCCGAAACCCGGUGAUCUAGCCAUGGGCAGGUUGAAGGUUGGGUAACACUAACUGGAGGACCGAACCGACUAAUGUUGAAAAAUUAGCGGAUGACUUGUGGCUGGGGGUGAAAGGCCAAUCAAACCGGGAGAUAGCUGGUUCUCCCCGAAAGCUAUUUAGGUAGCGCCUCGUGAAUUCAUCUCCGGGGGUAGAGCACUGUUUCGGCAAGGGGGUCAUCCCGACUUACCAACCCGAUGCAAACUGCGAAUACCGGAGAAUGUUAUCACGGGAGACACACGGCGGGUGCUAACGUCCGUCGUGAAGAGGGAAACAACCCAGACCGCCAGCUAAGGUCCCAAAGUCAUGGUUAAGUGGGAAACGAUGUGGGAAGGCCCAGACAGCCAGGAUGUUGGCUUAGAAGCAGCCAUCAUUUAAAGAAAGCGUAAUAGCUCACUGGUCGAGUCGGCCUGCGCGGAAGAUGUAACGGGGCUAAACCAUGCACCGAAGCUGCGGCAGCGACGCUUAUGCGUUGUUGGGUAGGGGAGCGUUCUGUAAGCCUGUGAAGGUGUGCUGUGAGGCAUGCUGGAGGUAUCAGAAGUGCGAAUGCUGACAUAAGUAACGAUAAAGCGGGUGAAAAGCCCGCUCGCCGGAAGACCAAGGGUUCCUGUCCAACGUUAAUCGGGGCAGGGUGAGUCGACCCCUAAGGCGAGGCCGAAAGGCGUAGUCGAUGGGAAACAGGUUAAUAUUCCUGUACUUGGUGUUACUGCGAAGGGGGGACGGAGAAGGCUAUGUUGGCCGGGCGACGGUUGUCCCGGUUUAAGCGUGUAGGCUGGUUUUCCAGGCAAAUCCGGAAAAUCAAGGCUGAGGCGUGAUGACGAGGCACUACGGUGCUGAAGCAACAAAUGCCCUGCUUCCAGGAAAAGCCUCUAAGCAUCAGGUAACAUCAAAUCGUACCCCAAACCGACACAGGUGGUCAGGUAGAGAAUACCAAGGCGCUUGAGAGAACUCGGGUGAAGGAACUAGGCAAAAUGGUGCCGUAACUUCGGGAGAAGGCACGCUGAUAUGUAGGUGAAGUCCCUUGCGGAUGGAGCUGAAAUCAGUCGAAGAUACCAGCUGGCUGCAACUGUUUAUUAAAAACACAGCACUGUGCAAACACGAAAGUGGACGUAUACGGUGUGACGCCUGCCCGGUGCCGGAAGGUUAAUUGAUGGGGUUAGCGCAAGCGAAGCUCUUGAUCGAAGCCCCGGUAAACGGCGGCCGUAACUAUAACGGUCCUAAGGUAGCGAAAUUCCUUGUCGGGUAAGUUCCGACCUGCACGAAUGGCGUAAUGAUGGCCAGGCUGUCUCCACCCGAGACUCAGUGAAAUUGAACUCGCUGUGAAGAUGCAGUGUACCCGCGGCAAGACGGAAAGACCCCGUGAACCUUUACUAUAGCUUGACACUGAACAUUGAGCCUUGAUGUGUAGGAUAGGUGGGAGGCUUGGAAGUGUGGACGCCAGUCUGCAUGGAGCCGACCUUGAAAUACCACCCUUUAAUGUUUGAUGUUCUAACGUUGACCCGUAAUCCGGGUUGCGGACAGUGUCUGGUGGGUAGUUUGACUGGGGCGGUCUCCUCCUAAAGAGUAACGGAGGAGCACGAAGGUUGGCUAAUCCUGGUCGGACAUCAGGAGGUUAGUGCAAUGGCAUAAGCCAGCUUGACUGCGAGCGUGACGGCGCGAGCAGGUGCGAAAGCAGGUCAUAGUGAUCCGGUGGUUCUGAAUGGAAGGGCCAUCGCUCAACGGAUAAAAGGUACUCCGGGGAUAACAGGCUGAUACCGCCCAAGAGUUCAUAUCGACGGCGGUGUUUGGCACCUCGAUGUCGGCUCAUCACAUCCUGGGGCUGAAGUAGGUCCCAAGGGUAUGGCUGUUCGCCAUUUAAAGUGGUACGCGAGCUGGGUUUAGAACGUCGUGAGACAGUUCGGUCCCUAUCUGCCGUGGGCGCUGGAGAACUGAGGGGGGCUGCUCCUAGUACGAGAGGACCGGAGUGGACGCAUCACUGGUGUUCGGGUUGUCAUGCCAAUGGCACUGCCCGGUAGCUAAAUGCGGAAGAGAUAAGUGCUGAAAGCAUCUAAGCACGAAACUUGCCCCGAGAUGAGUUCUCCCUGACUCCUUGAGAGUCCUGAAGGAACGUUGAAGACGACGACGUUGAUAGGCCGGGUGUGUAAGCGCAGCGAUGCGUUGAGCUAACCGGUACUAAUGAACCGUGAGGCUUAACCUU